rnacentral:rRNA from 1 species
UACGUAGGGUGCGAGCGUUGUCCGGAAUUAUUGGGCGUAAAGAGCUCGUAGGCGGUGUGUCACGUCGGCCGUGAAAACCUGCAGCUUAACUGUGGGCGUGCGGUCGAUACGGGCAUCACUGGAGUUCGGCAGGGGAGAUUGGAAUUCCUGGUGUAGCGGUGAAAUGCGCAGAUAUCAGGAGGAACACCGGUGGCGAAGGCGGGUCUCUGGGCCGAUACUGACGC